rnacentral:rRNA from 1 species
AGUACCGUGAGGGAAAGGUGAAAAGCACCCCGGAAGGGGAGUGAAAUAGAUCCUGAAACCGUGUGCCUACAACAAGUCAAAGCUCGUUAAUGAGUGAUGGCGUGCCUUUUGUAGAAUGAACCGGCGAGUUACGAUUGCAUGCGAGGUUAAGUCGAAGAGACGGAGCCGCAGCGAAAGCGAGUCUGAAUAGGGCGAAUGAGUAUGUAGUCGUAGACCCGAAACCAUGUGAUCUACCCAUGUCCAGGUUGAAGGUGCGGUAAAACGCACUGGAGGACCGAACCCACGUACGUUGAAAAGUGCGGGGAUGAGGUGUGGGUAGCGGAGAAAUUCCAAACGAACUUGGAGAUAGCUGGUUCUCUCCGAAAUAGCUUUAGGGCUAGCCUCGGAAUUGAGAAUGAUGGAGGUAGAGCACUGUUUGGACUAGGGGCCCAUCUCGGGUUACCGAAUUCAGAUAAACUCCGAAUGCCAUUCAUUUAUAUCCGGGAGUCAGACUGCGAGUGAUAAGAUCCGUAGUCGAAAGGGAAACAGCCCAGACCACCAGCUAAGGUCCCAAAAUAUAUGUUAAGUGGAAAAGGAUGUGGGGUUGCACAGACAACUAGGAUGUUGGCUUAGAAGCAGCCACCAUUUAAAGAGUGCGUAAUAGCUCACUAGUCGAGUGACCCUGCGCCGAAAAUGUACCGGGGCUAAACAUAUUACCGAAGCUGUGGACUACACCAUUAGGUGUAGUGGUAGGAGAGCGUUCUAAGGGCGUUGAAGGUCGAUCGUGAGGACGGCUGGAGCGCUUAGAAGUGAGAAUGCCGGUAUGAGUAGCGAAAGACAGGUGAGAAUCCUGUCCACCGUAUGACUAAGGUUUCCUGGGGAAGGCUCGUCCGCCCAGGGUUAGUCGGGACCUAAGCCGAGGCCGAUAGGCGUAGGCGAUGGACAACAGGUUGAUAUUCCUGUACCAGUUGUUUUUGUUUGAGCAAUGGAGGGACGCAGUAGGCUAAGGAAUGCAUGCGAUUGGAAGUGCAUGUCCAAGCAAUGAGUCUUGAGUAGAGUUAAAUGCUUUACUCUUUAAGGACAAGUUGUGACGGGGAGCGAAAUAAUAGUAGCGAAGUUCCUGAUGUCACACUGCCAAGAAAAGCUUCUAGUGAGAAAACAACUGCCCGUACCGUAAACCGACACAGGUAGUCGAGGAGAGUAUCCUAAGGUGAGCGAGCGAACUCUCGUUAAGGAACUCGGCAAAAUGACCCCGUAACUUCGGGAGAAGGGGUGCUGACUUCGGUCAGCCGCAGUGAAUAGGCCCAAGCGACUGUUUAUCAAAAACACAGGUCUCUGCAAAAUCGUAAGAUGAAGUAUAGGGGCUGACGCCUGCCCG